rfam:Bacillus pseudofirmus OF4 plasmid pBpOF4-01, complete sequence.
GAGCGCCGUAUGCGGGGAAACUCGCACGUACGGUGCGGAGCGGGGGAAAAGGUUAACUUAGUAAGAUAAUACACACUAAAAGAUAGUAUUAUCGAAAAGUUAUUAACGGAGGAUACAAAAUCCAAAGACUUACCUAUCGCUAU